rnacentral:tRNA from 1 species
UCCUGUAAAGUAGUUACUACAUUUAGUUUCGACCUAAAUAUAUUGGAUUAUAUAAAUCCUACAGGGU